UACGUAGGGUGCAAGCGUUGUCCGGAAUUAUUGGGCGUAAAGAGCUCGUAGGCGGUCUGUUGCGUCCGCUGUGAAAACUCGGGGCUAACCCCGAGCCUGCAGUGGAUACGGGCAGACUAGAGGUAGGUAGGGGAGAAUGGAAUUCCCGGUGUAGCGGUGAAAUGCGCAGAUAUCGGGAGGAACACCGGUGGCGAAGGCGGUCUCUGGGCCUACCUGCGCUGAGGAGCCGAAAGCGUGGGGAG
rnacentral:rRNA from 1 species